ACAGAUGCAAGUCGAGCGGAAACGAGUUAUCUGAACCUUCGGGGAACGAUAACGGCGUCGAGCGGCGGACGGGUGAGUAAUGCCUAGGAAAUUGCCCUGAUGUGGGGGAUAACCAUUGGAAACGAUGGCUAAUACCGCAUGAUGCCUACGGGCCAAAGAGGGGGACCUUCGGGCCUCUCGCGUCAGGAUAUGCCUAGGUGGGAUUAGCUAGUUGGUGAGGUAAGGGCUCACCAAGGCGACGAUCCCUAGCUGGUCUGAGAGGAUGAUCAGCCACACUGGAACUGAGACACGGUCCAGACUCCUACGGGAGGCAGCAGUGGGGAAUAUUGCACAAUGGGCGCAAGCCUGAUGCAGCCAUGCCGCGUGUGUGAAGAAGGCCUUCGGGUUGUAAAGCACUUUCAGUCGUGAGGAAGGUNGUGUNGUUAAUAGCNGCNUNNUUUGACGUUAGCGACAGAAGAAGCACCGGCUAACUCCGUGCCAGCAGCCGCGGUAAUACGGAGGGUGCGAGCGUUAAUCGGAAUUACUGGGCGUAAAGCGCAUGCAGGUGGUUUGUUAAGUCAGAUGUGAAAGCCCGGGGCUCAACCUCGGAAUAGCAUUUGAAACUGGCAGACUAGAGUACUGUAGAGGGGGGUAGAAUUUCAGGUGUAGCGGUGAAAUGCGUAGAGAUCUGAAGGAAUACCGGUGGCGAAGGCGGCCCCCUGGACAGAUACUGACACUCAGAUGCAAA
rnacentral:rRNA from 1 species